GUCUGUGAAGAUGCGGACUACCUGCACCUGGACAGAAAGACCCUAUGAAGCUUCACUGUUUCCUAGGACGACCUUUGGGCUUUUCUUACGCAGCUUAGGUGGAGGGCAAAGAAGGCCUUCUUCUGGGGGGUCAAAACCAUCAGUUAGAUACCACUCUGGAAGAGCUAGAAUUCUAACCUUGUGUCAGGACCUACAGGCCGGGGGACAGUCUCUGAUAGACAGUUUCUAUAGGGCGUAGACCUCCCCAAAGGUAACGAAGGCGUGUCAAGGUUUUCUCGAGCGAGACGAAAAUUGGUCCUCGAGUGCAAAGGCAUAAGGGAGCUUGACUGCAAGACCCACCCAUCGAACAGGGACGAAAGUCGACCUUAGUGAUCCGACGGUGCCGAGUGGAAGGACCGUCGCUCAACGGAUAAAAGUUACUCUAGGAAUAACAGACUGAUCUUCCCCAAGAGUUCACAUCGACGGGAAGGUUUGACACCUCGAUGUUGGCUCUUCGCCACCUGAGACUGUAAUAUGUUCCAAGGGUUGGGUUGUUCGCCCAUUAAAGCGGUACAUGAAAUAUAUCGAAAUGUGAACUUUAUAGACAAAAGCAAAUUUAGC
rfam:Vigna angularis cultivar Jingnong 6 scaffold547_23, whole genome shotgun sequence.